ensembl:lncRNA
CUGAAGGGCCCCGCCCCCUGCCCUGACGCGGUCGCUAUGGUAACUCGUCCGGGUUUCUGAGGUUUCUGUCAACAGUGAGAGGAAUAGUGAAGAAAUGCCUUUCUCCAUUUUGCUCUAAUUCUCCCUUGGUCCCGGCACUACGAUUGUUGCAUCCCUCCACAUCUCCUAAGCACACGGAAGACUAGAUGACGUCCUUUGGGGAGUGCGCAUUCUGAGAAAACUUACAUGAAGCAUCUAUAACCGCGCCCAGCUUAAGAUAAGGCACACCUCGUUUCAUCUCUUUGUGCUUCUGCACAGAAAAUCAGACCUUCUGUUGCAAGAUGGCCCUAAGGAUUUGACAUUGAUCACCAUCAUAGAAUUGGAACUUACAAAUAUUUUUCUCUUGGUAACACUCUGCAGAUGGUUAAGAGCCAGCACGUGGUUGCUGGGGAUUGAACUCAGGACACUGUAGCUAACCAUUGUCGGUAACUCCAGUUCCCGGAACUCCAGCACUGUCUCUGCCCUCCAUGGGCAGCCCACAUGCGAGUGAUGCACACAUACAUACAAGUAAAGCACCCGCACAGAUGCAGCAAAACUUUGAAGAAAGAUAAUUUGUUUCCAGCAAAUCUGGACUAUAAGAAUGUCUGACAAACAACUUAAAUCAAGAAAGAGAGUUUGUUCACCUCCUGACAGACAAGAGAUGGGGAGGUGCAGAAGAAAGAGAGAAGAACAGAGAGGAAGAGAGGGGAGGGAAAAAGGAGAGGAAAGCAGUCUGGGGCAAGAAAGAUCCAAGGACCCACUGUAGUGACUUACUUCCUUCAGCUGCAAAGUGGCUAUAAGUUUCAAGUGGUCCCUGAAAGAACACCUCAGCUGGACUCAACCCCUCAAAUCACAAGCCUUUUGGAAGACCAGUUCACAUCCAAACUGAACAGUACAUUUCCUAGAACACCAAAGUCUCAUGUGCGUCUCACAAGGUAAUAUUUGGUAUACCAAGGGUUCCCAAAGCCUUAUCAGUUCAAACAUUGUUGACAAUUUAGGUUCAAUUAAGAUCUGAGACUCAAGGCAAAUUUUUACUCUUAGGCUCUAUAAAAUAAAACAAGCGGUGAAUGUCAUGUUUGGUUGUUGCCUCUUAGAAGUCUGCUCUUUUCUGAAAGGAAAAAAAGGGGAGAGGAUCUGAGGG